GCUUCAUCAGGUCUCAACGAAAAUCUUUGACGUCAACGGAAUUCUAUUUUAGGCUCGUUCUCGCGGUGCCCCAGCAAGUUUACGUUUUUCGUAAAUAUAACGCGAACAGAAACACACGCAGGAACGCGACGACCAUGUUCGACCUCUCACACGGCUCGGGUGAGAGGGCCAACCGGGCACGACCGGAGGACGAUUCCAUUAAUAACGAAGAAUUACGGUAAUUUUCAACGAGCCAAAACAACUCGAAUAUACGUUGACACUGGCUGCGAUAUCGCUCGCUACACGAUCGUCAAAUUGGCAAAAUACACUGUCAAUCGAAAAACAAAAUAUUAUGAGACGUUUUCCAACCAUGUCGACAGCCUCCUUCAAACGAUUCAUCGAUCAACGACUGUUUUAUGCUCAUAUUUUGGGAUUUCUAUGACCACGAGUCCUCCGGUAUUUUGCGUGGAGAUGGCGAAUAUGAAAAAAUGAAAAACUUGCACACGAAGGGAAUUACAUUUGAAAAAUUACCGUCCAGUUACGAUUGAUCCUUUACCGGAGUAUGUCUAAAAGCCCGAUUAAAGUUGCCGUACUUUUGAAGAUUAUUUCAAUAUUUAUUUGGAAACAUUGCACGAGCGUCGCGGUGAAUUUUACUGCGCUUCACCGCUAAAAUUUCCGUCCGGAUGUUUAUGCCAGGAUACGGCAAUAAUAGGGACACGGCAAGGGUAUGUUGUCGCUACAUCGGCCUAUUUCCCCAUUGUUUUUACGUGCUCAGCCCUUCGUUGAAGUGGGUAAAUCACUGAUUUAAUGUGCUACGGAAUUCGGAAGCGAAUGAUCGAUUCCAACCAUUGGGGCAAAGACAUUUAACCGUGAUGCAC